GUUUCAAUUUAAUUUUUAUUAGAAUUUUAUUUUUUAGUAAAAAAGCUAAAAUUUAAUUAAAAGACGAGAAGACCCUAUAAAUCUUUAUAAUUUUAGAUAUUUUAACUUUUUAAGGAAAUUUUUGUUAUAAAAUUUAAAAUUAUUUUAUUGGGGUGAUAUUGAAAUUUAAAUAACUUUUAAUUUAUGAAUAACAUAAAUUUAUGAAUAAAUUGAUCCAUUAAUAAUGAUUAAAAAAUUAAGUUACUUUAGGGAUAACAGCGUAAUUUUUUUGGAGAGUUCAUAUCGAUAAAAAAGUUUGCGACCUCGAUGUUGGAUUAAGAAAUAAUUUUAAUGUAGAAGUUAAAAAAUAAAGUCUGUUCGACUUUUAAAUUCUUACAUGAUCUGAGUUCAAACCGGUGUAAGCCAGGUUGGUUUCUAUCUUUAAUAGAAUAUAAUAUUUUAGUACGAAAGGAAUAAAUAUUAAAAAUUAUUAUUUUAAAUAGAAU
rnacentral:rRNA from 1 species